AUUGGAAACGCGAACAAGGCUAAAUAAACGUGUUUCAAAUGAGCGACACAUGGAGAGAACCUACUUUCAUGGAAUACAUAAUUCUGAGGUGGUGGAAGGAAGACAGAGAGGACCCACGCAGACGCUGGAAGAACAUGCAAACUCAACACAGAAAGGUCCACAUGGGCUGGGGCUGGAAUCCCUGUCAAUACGCUGAAGUAAUGCAGACAGGAUGAAGACCAGGUACUUAAUGAAGCGUCUGGGUCGUCCACACCUGCAACACAUUCCAAGAAAAAGUUGGGGAAGCAACAAUUUAUAUCUAGUAAUGAGACCUAAAUGUCAGGAACGGGUAUGUGUUUACAAGUAAAAUGAAGCUGAACAGGUAAAUCAUUAAAUACAGCUUUGGAAAUAAUUAUUUAACCACCUGGGAUAUUCUGUAGAAAUGCAAUAAAACCACUCUUCUGUAUGACCUUUUGAUAAUCUGUUCUUGGAAUAUUAAUAGUUUCUCCAGUGUUUGUCAAAGGUUUAAAAUCACAGUCUUAUUUUUUACAUGCAGCAAUCUAGGUAUGGAGUUUUAUAUUGACAGAAUGAAUAUAUAAAUGUACAGAUAUUGGUACAAAAUCACCAAACUAUGACCUUAAAGAAUAAGAAUGGACGUCGAAUGAAACACGUCGCUACAGUGGCCAGAUAGUUUGUAAACCCUUUGAAAAUUCAUAGUUUUCUGCAUGAAUUGGUCAUAAAAGGUGAUGUAAUCUACUUGUAAAUCACAAACAGACACAAACAUUUUUUAAACAACUAAUACCUCACAUACAAUUCUAAUAUUUCAUGUAUUUAUUGAACGCAGCUGUUUAACGCUCCUAAUGCUGCUGGAAAAAGUAAGUGAACCCUAGGCUAAGUCAGUGGUUCCCAUCCUUUUUUGGCUCGUAACUCCAUUUUAACAUCACAAAUUCCUAGCAACUUUUUUUUUUUUUUUGCUAAAAUUAAUU